rnacentral:rRNA from 1 species
CCUACGGGUGGCAGCAGUAGGGAAUUUUCGGCAAUGGGGGGAACCCUGACCGAGCAACGCCGCGUGAAGGAAGAAGGAAUUCGUUCUGUAAACUUCUGUUAUAAAGGAAGAAAGACGGAUGGAGGAAAUGACAUCCGAGUGACGGUACUUUAUGAGAAAGCCACGGCUAACUACGUGCCAGCAGCCGCGGUAAUACGUAGGUGGCAAGCGUUAUCCGGAUUUAUUGGGUUUAAAGGGUGCGUAGGCGGUCCGGAAAGUCAGCGGUAAAAGCCCGGGGCUCAACCCCGGCGAGCCGUUGAAACUGUCGGACUAGAGACGGCGAGAAGUACGCGGAAUGCGCGGUGUAGCGGUGAAAUGCAUAGAUAUCGCGCAGAACUCAGAUUGCGAAGGCAGCGUACCGGCGCCGGACUGACGCUGAGGCACGAAAGCGUGGGUAUCGAACAGGAUUAGAUACCCCUGUAGUC